UGCCUCGCAGGCGCAUGCGUCAGCGACUUACGGCGUUGGCCGAAAGUGUGGUUUUGCUACUGGUGCUAGCUUCACUGAACUGAACCAGCUGGCUGAAGAAAAUGAAAACAGCGACCGGCGACGCGACCGCUCAUUUUUAGAGUGUGACUCAACUUUCCCGUCAUUUUUCACGAGCCUCCGCACGAGAGCGAUUUAAUUGUGUGACGACUGUGCACAUGAGUGUUGGACCAGAAGUUAUGUUCCUGCCAGCAAAGAGUAUCGGACAUAAGAGAAGGCUGCUGCAAUGCACUCGUCCUUGAUCUUACUAACUGUCGGCUGACUGCAGUGGAUGGGCGCCCCAGUGGUUUUUGCAAUUGAUUUGCCAAAAAUUGAAUUUCUCGGAUGAAAGAAAGUCGGAAAGAGCACUCGUCCCAAAAUUUCGAGCCGCUCCGUGCCAGGCGGCGCUCCACUCAUCCUCGGCAAGUCGACUGUGUCUCACAUUGGGUAAUUAACUAACUCACUCCCUGCCUCACCCCUUCCAACUCUGCUCCCCAACCGCCGUGCCAAGCAUUAUUAAACUAAUCAAAAUUUCUUUGACCAAAAAUCCCUUGAUGCUCCCAUCGUAUUUUACCACUGCUUUCAAUUUUGGCACGUAAAGUCGGUGUUUCUUUUUUUUAACUGUGAAUUUCUUUUUCCAGGCUGACUGCAGUGGAUGGGCGCCCCAGUGGUUUUUGCAAUUGAUUUGCCAAAAAUUGAAUUUCUCGGAUGAAAGAAAGUCGGAAAGAGCACUCGUCCCAAAAUUUCGAGCCGCUCUGUGCCAGGCGGCGCUCCACUCAUCCUCGGCAAGUCGACUGUGUCUCACAUUGGGUAAUUAAC